rnacentral:lncRNA from 1 species
GGUUCUUUUUCCAAAAAACAGGCGAAUAAUAUCCGUGAUAACAUCGGCCUCGGAUGCUCAUAAGUACUGGAGAAAUGGUCUGCAUUAAGGAUCUUGGCUUUGACUUCUAAAGAUCAAACUCAAGAUUUGGAAUUGGGGCAGUCUCAUUGGGAUUCUUGGGAAAUAAACACGAGGAUAGGAUUUAAGGUGGCCCCAGGGUUGUAUGGUACGAUUUUGGUGCGGUUUGGAGCUGGAAUGCCGGUGACAAUGGUGGACUAGGGUUCAAAGCUCUCUGAUGAACGAGAGAAGAAGAGGACGAUG